rnacentral:lncRNA from 1 species
ACUACAGUGGAGUACAUUGAAGCCGAUAACUCUAUCUCCCUGUAUUUGGCAGUGGAAUAGAUUGAAGAUUACAGAUCUUAUCUCCCUAAGCAAUAGUGGAGCAGGUCAAAGACGGCGGAUUUUACCUCCCUAAUUACAGUGGAGUACAUUGAAGCUGGUAGUUCUAUCUCCCUGGGCAACAGUGGAAUAGAUCGAAGAUUACAGAUCUUAUCUCCCUAAAUAAUAGUGAAGCAGGUCGAAGACGGCGGAUUUUACCUCCCUGAUUACAGUGGAGUACAUUGAAGCUGGUAGUUCUAUCUCCCUGGGCAACAGUGGAAUAGAUCGAAGAUUACAGAUCUUAUCUCCCUAAGCAAUAGUGGAGCAGGUCGAAGACGGCAGAUUUUACCUCCCUGAUUACAGUGGAGUACAUUGAAGCUGGUAGUUCUAUCUCCCUGGGCAACAGUGGAAUAGAUCGAAGAUUACAGAUCUUAUCUCCCUAAGCAAUAGUGGAGCAGGUCGAAGACGGCGGAUUUUACCUCCCUGAUUACAGUGGAGUACAUUGAAGCUGGUAGUUCUAUCUCCCGGGGCAUGAAGUAAAUCGAAGAUAGCUGAUAUUUUCUUCCCAUACUGGUGAAGUAGAUCGAAGAAAACAGAUCAAUGAAGUUACCUUCCCUGGCAGUGUAGUGGAGCAAAUUAAAGCUACGACGGCGAAUCUUGUUCCCCGACAUUGCAAUUAAAGAGAUUGAAGCCACAACGGCGAAUCUCACUUCUCUGGCAGUACAGUGGAGCAGAUUAAAGCUACGACGGCGAAUCUUGCUUCCCUGAUAUUGCAAUUUAAAAGAUUGAAGCCGCAACGGCAAAUCUUACUUUCCUGGCGAUGCAGUGGAUCAGAUUGAAGCUACAAUGGCGACUCUUGUUCCCAGACAUUGCAAUUAAAGAGAUCGAAGCCACAACGGUGAAUCUCACUUCUCUGGCAGUGCAGUGGAUCAAAUUGAAGCUACAAUGGCGAAUCUUGUCCCCCGACAUUGCAAUUAAAGAGAUCGAAGCCACAACGGCGAAUCUCACUUCCCCCUAAGCAGUAGUGGAACAGAUCACAUUCAGUCUUAUCUCCCUAAGCAGUAGUGGAGCAGACGAAGAAAACAACAAAUCUCAUUCCCAUGGAGUUGCAGCAGAAUAGAUUUAAGUCAUGUUUCUCUAGAGCGCAGUGAAGUGGAUUGAAGCAACGAGACACAGCAAAACAGAAUAAGGCUACUUGAAGAAGAUGAGCACCAAAAAGUCAAGACUCGGCAAGACCGGGCAAAAUUGGCCCUUUUGAUGUCUUUGCUCUAUUCUCGUUACACGAAAAUGAGCAAAGAGAGGUAGCUGUAAAAGCCCAUUUUUGCCCGGGCCCAUACCAAUAAAAUAACCCAAAUAAUAAAAUCCAAAAUAAAAUCCCAAGCCCAUUUAACCCAUCCUCAAACCCAAAACCUAAAAUUAACCUAGCCCAACAUCCAAGCCCAAUCCCAAAACCCUAAACUCCCACUUGCCUCUUCCCAUUCUCCCAUGCUGUCUGCCACCAGUACCACUCUCACUCUCCCAUGCUGUCUGCCACCAACACCAUCACACACCC